GGGGAAUUUUGCGCAAUGGGCGAGAGCCUGACGCAGCAACGCCGCGUGGGUGAUGGAGGUCUUCGGAUCGUAAAACCCUGUCGUCAGGGACGAAGGGCCGCGGAGUAACUGUCGCGGUCUUGACGGUACCUGGAGAGGAAGCCCCGGCUAACUCUGUGCCAGCAGCCGCGGUAAUACAGAGGGGGCAAGCGUUAUUCGGAAUUAUUGGGCGUAAAGGGCGCGUAGGCGGUGAUGUAAGUGAGAUGUGUAAUCCCCGAGCUUAACUUGGGAACUGCAUCUCAGACUGCAUCGCUAGAGUGCUGGAGAGGGUGGUAGAAUUCCACGUGUAGCGGUGAAAUGCGUAGAGAUGUGGAGGAAUACCAGUGGCGAAGGCGGCCACCUGGACAGUAACUGACGCUGAGGCGCGAAAGUGUGGAGAGCAAAC
rnacentral:rRNA from 1 species